rnacentral:rRNA from 1 species
UGGGGAAUCUUCCGCAAUGGGCGCAAGCCUGACGGAGCAACGCCGCGUGAGUGAAGAAGGUCUUCGGAUCGUAAAGCUCUGUUGAUGGGGACGAACGUGCCUAAUGCGAAUAGUAUUAGGUAUGACGGUACCCAUCGAGGAAGCCACGGCUAACUACGUGCCAGCAGCCGCGGUAAUACGUAGGUGGCGAGCGUUGUCCGGAAUCAUUGGGCGUAAAGGGAGCGCAGGCGGGCAUGUAAGUCUUUCUUAAAAGUGCGGGGCUCAACCCCGUGAUGGGAAAGAAACUAUGUGUCUUGAGUACAGGAGAGGAAAGCGGAAUUCCCAGUGUAGCGGUGAAAUGCGUAGAUAUUGGGAGGAACACCAGUGGCGAAGGCGGCUUUCUGGACUGCAACUGACGCUGAGGCUCGAAAGCCAGGGGAGCGAACGGG